GCUAUCAAUAUGCGGGAGACUCCCGGAACUUCCGGGAGACUUGGGAUGUCUGUCAAUGGCUCUGACAGGAAAGAAACAUGGAACUCUUGGAGGCUUUGGAUGUGCCUGGGAUGACCACGGCUUCAUCUUCCACUUCCUGGACUCUUAGGCAGCAAAAGGCUGCACAAAGAUGGAAAGAGCCAAGGCCUUUCCAUCUGCAGUGUCUCCUGCAGACCCAUAAUGUGGGCCAUCCUUUGUGCAGCGUUUUGUAAAGGACGUUAUGAUUUGCACGAGCCCCUGUUUGCUUGCAAAAAUUGCAACCAGCAGUGGUCUCCUGAAUUUAAAGACAUCCUUGCCAGUGGAUAUUGGCCUGCCUCCAUCAGCUCCGACACAUUGUACACUUUCAAUAUUUUUAGUACGUUCCAGGAGCUUAAAGUUAUAGCCCCAACCCUGUUUAGACAGGCUUUUGUCAAGCUCCUUGAACAUCGAACAAGAUGUGGUGGAAGGUCAGGACCUGUGUGUGGGGACACUCUUCAGCGAAGCUUUCUGGAGUACAGCUAUUGCCGCUUCGAAGAGGAUCAGCUGUCCUGUGGAACACCUUUAAGCUGCCCUGCCUGUUCACCCAAGAUGCUUGCUGUGUCAGUGGAUGGUAAUAGGAAACUCUACAGGUUUCUUCGAAA